GACAGAGGUGCCAAGCGUUAGGCGGAAUCACUGGGCUUAAAGCGUGUGUAGGCGGAAUUGUAAGUACCUUGUGAAAUCCCACAGCUCAACUGUGGAACUGCUCGGUAUACUGCUUUUCUUGAGCCACUUAGGGGCUGUCGGAACAAAUGGUGGAGCGGUGAAAUGCGUAGAUAUCGGGAGGAACACCGGUGGCGAAGGCGGUUCUCUGGGCCUUACCUGACGCUGAGGAGCGAAAGCGUGGGGAGCGAACAGG
rnacentral:rRNA from 1 species